rnacentral:lncRNA from 1 species
UACAGUUCAUUCGAUUUUUACCCCUCAAUUAAACAGAAUAAAAUAAAAUCAUGUAAUAUUAUUUAGUUUCUAUCUUUUCAAUCCCCUAUAAAUCGAAUCAUUGAGAUGCUGCUACACCCGAUAAAAUACAUUAGCUGAUUUUUGUAACUAUUGUUGAGGUGAAAUAACUUCCCACGAAUCACACAUAUACUGGGUGUGUGUGUGUUUGAAUUAUGUGCAGAUCAACGACUAACAAUCACCCGGUGUGUUUCAUCGCGUGAAGCAUCAAAUAAACCUGUUAAUUUUCAAACAAGACCAAAGUUCUCUGCUUCUUUUCCAACAGUCAACACCUUCUUUGUGUUUCCAACCUUCUUUCAAUUUGAGCUCAAUAAUUGCGCAGUGGCCCUUCAAAUUUUGCAACUUGCUAAAUUUUAUUUGUAUAUACACCCCACCACCCUUUCUACAUAUCUCUUAUUUUAAUUGUCUUUUGCACCUCCAACUUGUGCAACUUGUAUUUGUGCACCACUAAUUUAAAUAUAUACAAUCCACUUUAGGUGAUUAUUUGAACAUAUAAUUAUUCCCAUUUUGAUUUAUUAUGAUUAUGUAGAUUACCAAAAGAUAAGUUAAAAAUUGAAUCCUUUAAAAAGAUCUGCUCUAAUCAUAAAGAUUUGUAAGAUCACUCAAGUUGCAAUUAAAUUAUUGAUCAUCAUUUCUAUAAGAUCGUUCAACGUGCUCAAUCUUGCACCAAAAGACGAAAUCCCUCGUCACAUGGCCCGACGGGUUUGAUGGAGGAUGUAAAUCACGGUGACUCAACGAUCCGUUAAGGUAGCGGACUUGAACUUGGUGCCCACGAGGAAGCAAUCCUUAUUGGAGCUGAAAUUUUCACACUACGGCUGCAAAUAUUCGAUCCUAGGUCUUUGAACCAAUUUACCACCUUCGAAACCAAUUGAGCUAUCCAUGAGAGCGACGUGCUCAACCUUAAAUAAAUAUUAAGAGGGUUCAAAGAGAAACAAAGUUACUUUGAUUUGUAACAUUUGGUGCAUAUGCCUAAAGGCUAAAAGUCUAUGUGUGUGAUUGUAAAUAAAUCGAAUGUGGAAAAUUACAUGCUACAAGCCAAGAAAUCAUAGUUUGUGCUUAUAAAAGAAAGGCAUUCGGUGCAUGAAAGAAAAAAAAGACUUACAUAGACGAACAAAUCCAGUCUCAACGGCGAGUUUAUAACAAAUUUGAAUCCAAGUGUUCAUGAUCUCUUCCCCAUACUUUCGAUGAAAUCAUUAUGUUCAUUCGAUUCGAGAAUAUGCUUCUAAGAUCUUGAAUCAAAUUCAGAAUACGAGACAAGAAUCAGUGGAUUUCUGGAGAUUGUAGUCCGUUUCUUUUGAUUAAUAUAUUUAUUUAUUCCUAUUUUUCUUGUCCCGUAUUUAUAUUUUGCAGACUAA